rnacentral:lncRNA from 1 species
CACCCGCGAGCAGCGGGGAAGGCGGGGACCCGGGCCCCGCGGGCCUGCAGCGCCCCCGCACCCGGUUCCACGCGCCCAGGGCCGCCCCCGCGGAGAGAGGGGGCGCGAGGGGCGCGCCUCUCGCUCGGACACCCUCUCCCAGCUCGCGCCCCAGGUAACUUAAACCCAAUUAUAAAUGGCUUUGGCUAUAAAGUGUUCUUGAAUGAAAACGUUUAGGAAGUAGGCCUGGAUUCAGAUGCUUCAGAGGCUCAAAGGUUUUCUAAUUGUUUAUGGAGAAGAUUGAUCUUCACAAGCUAGUUUUUUCAUAGGCAAAAGCAAAAGUCUCUUCCUGUGUUAUUAAGUGAAAAUGGCUGAUUAUAAAAAGGCCCUGGGUCAGGAGGUUGCCGAUUCCAGGAAGAAUCAGACCUUAUCCCUGCCCUUGAGUCUCAAGAAGAGGAAAGGAAAACAAAUAAGCAUAGUACAGUGUGAAAAGUGGGACUGUGGUCAAAUUUCAGUCUGCAAACUCAGAAUGGAUGAAAUAUGAAAGACUGACAACAUCAAGUUGUCAAGUAGGACAGGAUGUGGAACCACUGGAACUCAUACGUGACUGAUGGGAAUGCAAAAUGAUACCGAUCCCUUGGAAAACUCCUUGGCAACUUUAAUAAACAUAAAUCUACCCUAUGAUCCAGAAAUUCCACUCUGAGUCACGUCUCCAAGAGCAAUGAAAAUAUAUACCCACAAAAGACUGCACAUAAAUCAGAACAGCAUUGUUGAUAAUAGCCCAAACUGGAAACAACCUAAAUAUUCACCAAUAGAAGCCUGAAUAAAUUCAUACUGUGGGAUACUCUACAGCAAUGAGGUAGAUGAACUAUUACUGCCUACAACAACAUGAAAGAAAGUAAAAGUCACUACUUUGAUAAUUAUAAACACAAAAAAGUAAACAUAUCAUUCUAUUCAUAUGAAGAGUUAUCUAAAUAAUUAGUAAAAUUGAUCUAUGAUUUUAGAAGUGGUACCUCUGGAGGAGAAGGAGGGGUACUGUUACUGACUGAGAAGGGAGUUCUGGAAAAAUUCUAUACUUUGAUCUUUGGGAUGGUUACACAGAUGUAUAGACAGGCAAAAAUUCAUUGAACUUUACAUUUAUUAUUUGUACAUUUUACCAUAUGCAAAUUGUCCCUCAAUUUAAAAAAUCUCAUUUUCCUUAAAAAAACACAGAGGCAAACAUUUCAAAAACAAUAUCUCACCUUAGAUGAGAU